GUCAGUAUAGCUCAGUUGGUUAGAGCGUGGCACUCAUAAAGCCAAGGUCGGUGGUUCAAUUCCACCUACUGACACCA
rnacentral:tRNA from 1 species